ensembl:snRNA U7 U7 small nuclear RNA
UAAUGGAUUUUAGCUCUUUAAGUAUUUGUCUAGUAGGUUUUCUCACAAAGAGAAAGCCCAU